AGUAAUGCGUGACCAACCUGCCCCAUGCUCCAGAAUAGCUCUUGGAAACGGGUGGUAAUGCUGGAUGCUCCAACUUGACGCAUGUCUUGUUGGGAAAGUGUUUAGUGGCAUGGGAUGGGGUCGCGUCCUAUCAGCUUGUAGGCGAGGUAAUGGCCCACCUAGGCUUCGACGGGUAGCCGGCCUGAGAGGGCGGACGGCCACAUUGGGACUGAGAUACGGCCCAGACUCCUACGGGAGGCAGCAGCG
rnacentral:rRNA from 1 species